UCUAAGCCAGCUGGGAGCUGGGUCUGUCAGAGCCCUCCCUGCUCAACUCCAAGCCCCGCUUGUCCUGCAGCUCUCUGGUCUGUACCGUCCAGGGCUGGCUUGCAGCCACGCGGUGUGCCAGUGGGGGCCUGCAGCCCAGAGAUAGCCCUCAGCAAGAGGGACUGGUAAGGCAGAUGGAGACACACCCUGCACUGUGGGCCAGGGGCUGAUACUGACACUGGCUGAGAGAGAGGGUAAAGCAGCCCUGCCUGGCACAGCCCACACGCACAAGGCUGCGAAUGGCUCUGACGCUGCACAGGAACCCUGGGUUACGUCCUGGAGCCCUUGGCGAGGUUAUUCCAUGGACGUUCUGAGGGCAGGAGCGGUAAGAACAAAGAAGUGUCCUAGCACCUGGAAGAGACUAUAAAAGGAAGCUGCCUCAUCUCCACCUGGACUUCAAUCCUGCUUCUUGCCUCUGAAGGGACUUUGCUACAAACAAGCUCCGAACAAAGGACUGAAUGACCCACCCCGGAAGGGGAUGUUCCAGAGACUUGAUUUGAACCUGCAGUUUAUUCUAUUACUGCUAGAAGCCUGAACCAAGAACUUUGCCAUCACUGUAUGGAAUUGAUUCCAUUUAACCAAUUCCAGCUCUCAUCUAGAUCUUUUUCCUUUUAUGAAUAAACCUUUAGAUUCUAAA